rnacentral:rRNA from 1 species
GUGGGGAAUAUUGCGCAAUGGGCGGAAGCCUGACGCAGCGACGCCGCGUGGGGGAUGAAGGCCUUCGGGUUGUAAACCUCUUUUACCACUCACGAAGGCCCCUGGUUUUCUGGGGGUUGACGGUAGGUGGUGAAUAAGGACCGGCUAACUACGUGCCAGCAGCCGCGGUAAUACGUAGGGUCCGAGCGUUGUCCGGAAUUAUUGGGCGUAAAGAGCUCGUAGGCGGCCUGUCGCGUCUGCUGUGAAAGUCCGGGGCUUAACUCCGGGUGUGCAGUGGAUACGGGCAGGCUUGAGGUAGGUAGGGGAGACUGGAAUUCCUGGUGUAGCGGUGAAAUGCGCAGAUAUCAGGAGGAACACCGGUGGCGAAGGCGGGUCUCUGGGCCUUACCUGACGCUGAGGAGCGAAAGCGUGGGGAGCGAACAGG